rnacentral:rRNA from 1 species
CCUACGGGGGGCAGCAGUGGGGAAUAUUGGACAAUGGGGGGAACCCUGAUCCAGCCAUGCCGCGUGUGUGAAGAAGGCCCUCGGGUUGUAAAGCACUUUCAGUGAGGAAGAACGCCUGGUGGUUAAUACCCAUCAGGAAAGACAUCACUCACAGAAGAAGCACCGGCUAACUCCGUGCCAGCAGCCGCGGUAAUACGGAGGGUGCGAGCGUUAAUCGGAAUUACUGGGCGUAAAGCGCGCGUAGGUGGCUUGAUAAGCCGGUUGUGAAAGCCCCGGGCUCAACCUGGGAACGGCAUCCGGAACUGUCAAGCUAGAGUGCAGGAGAGGAAGGUAGAAUUCCCGGUGUAGCGGUGAAAUGCGUAGAGAUCGGGAGGAAUACCAGUGGCGAAGGCGGCCUUCUGGACUGACACUGACACUGAGGUGCGAAAGCGUGGUUAGCAAACAGGAUUAGAUACCCCUGUAGUC